UUCCAGCAGCCGCGGUAAUUCCAGCUCUGAUAGUAUAUAUUAAAGUUGUUGCAGUUAAAAAGCUCGUAGUUGAAACUUGGGUGUGUAGGGGCGGUCUCUUUUAGAGUACUACCCUGAAACAUCUUUCUUUGGUGUAAACUCUUUAUUCACUUAAGGAGUGUAAACCAAACAUUUACUUUGAAAAAAUUAGAGUGUUCAAAGCAGGCCUUUGCUCGAAUAUAUUAGCAUGGAAUAAUAGAAUAGGACGUAUGGUUCUAUUUUGUUGGUUUCUAGGACCGUCGUAAUGAUUAAUAGGGACGGUCGGGGGCAUCAGUAUUCAGUUGUCAGAGGUGAAAUUCUUGGAUUUACUGAAGACUAACUACUGCGAAAGCAUUGCCAAGGACGUUCAUAUCAGACCGAAUGG
rnacentral:rRNA from 1 species